GCUUAACCGGAGAAGUACAUCGGAAACUGGGAGACUUGAGUGCAGAAGAGGACAGUGGAACUCCAUGUGUAGCGGUGGAAUGCGUAGAUAUAUGGAAGAACACCAGUGGCGAAGGCGGCUGUCUAGUCUGUAACUGACGCUGAGGCUCGAAAGCAUGGGUAGCGAACAGGAUUAAAUACCCUGGUAGUCCAUGCCGUAAACGAUGAGUGCUAAGUGUUGGAGGGUUUCCGCCCUUCAUUGCUGCAGCUAACGCAUUAAGCACUCCGCCUGGGGAGUACGACCGCAAGGUUGAAACUCAAAGGAAUUGACGGGGGCCCGCACAAGCGGUGGAGCAUGUGGUUUAAUUCGAAGCUACGCGAAGAACCUUACCAGGUCUUGACAUCUUCUGCCAAUCUUAGAGAUAAAACGUUCCCUUCGGGGACAGAAUGACAGGUGGUGCAUGGUUGUCGUCAGCUCGUGUCGUGAGAUGUUGGGUUAAGUCCCGCAACGAGCGCAACCCUUAUUAUCAGUUUGCCGGCAUUCAGUUGGGCACUCUGGUGAGACUGCCGGUGACAAACCGGAGGAAGGUGAGGGAUGACGUCAAUCCUCAUGCCCCUUAUGACCUGGGCUACACACGUGCUACAAUGGACGGUACAACG
rnacentral:rRNA from 1 species